rnacentral:misc_RNA from 1 species
CGCCAGCCGGUGUCGGCCAAGAGACGUUCGGCCUCCCGCGCCAUAUCGUCCUUCUUCAGGUGGUCGAUCAGGCGCACCUUCUCCUCACCAAGCGCCUCAUGGAUCGCUUCGAGGAUGCGGGGCUUGGUGACGNNNNNNNGGUAGUUCGCGACGGUCGGCCGGAAACCGGCAUCCGACAUGUCGAGGCCGGUGACGCGAGC